GCGGGAUUGGUGUAAUGGUAACACGGCAGUUUUCCAAACUGUAAAUGCGAGUCCGAUUCUCGCAUCCCGCA
rnacentral:tRNA from 1 species